rnacentral:rRNA from 1 species
CAGGAUGAACGCUGGCGGCGUGCCUAACACAUGCAAGUCGAGCGAUUCUCUUCGGAGAAGAGCGGCGGACGGGUGAGUAACGCGUGGGUAACCUGCCUCAUACACAUGGAUAACAUACCGAAAGGUAUGCUAAUACAGGAUAAUAUAAGAGAUUCACAUGUAUUUCUUAUCAAAGCUCCGGCGGUGUGAGAUGGACCCGCGUCUGAUUAGCUAGUUGGUAAGGUAAUGGCUUACCAAGGCGACGAUCAGUAGCCGACCUGAGAGGGUGAUCGGCCACAUUGGAACUGAGACACGGUCCAAACUCCUACGGGAGGCAGCAGUGGGGAAUAUUGCACAAUGGGCGAAAGCCUGAUGCAAGCAACGCCGCGUGAGUGAUGAAGGCCUUCGGGUCGUAAAACUCUGUCCUCAAGGAAGAUAAUGACGGUACUUGAGGAGGAAGCCCCGGCUAACUACGUGCCAGCAGCUGC